rnacentral:rRNA from 1 species
AUUGAACGCUGGCGGCAGGCCUAACACAUGCAAGUCGAACGAGUGGCGGACGGGUGAGUAAUGUCUGGGAAACUGCCCGAUGGAGGGGGAUAACUACUGGAAACGGUAGCUAAUACCGCAUACCAUCGGAUGUGCCCAGAUGGGAUUAGCUAGUAGGUGGGGUAACGGCUCACCUAGGCGACGAUCCCUAGCUGGUCUGAGAGGAUGACCACCCACAUGGGAACGGGUACACGGUCCAGACUCCGCGGGGAGGCGGCAGGGGGGAAUAUUGCACAAGGGGCGCAAGCCGGAUGCAGCCAUGCCGCGUGUAUGAAGAAGGCCUUCGGGUUGUAAAUUAUUUCCAGGGAGGAGGCGUUACUCGCAGAAGAAGCACCGGCUAACUCCGUGCCAGCAGCCGGGGUAAUAC